GUAUUGAUUGCGUGUUAUCGCAAAAAUGGGGGUCAUUCUACACUUUUUAAAAGGGGUGUUUGUGUGAAAACGCGAGCCUCCUCCGAGAUGAUCCCAAAGGGUGCCCACGCGGUGAUGCACAAAGGGUGAGAUGGAUUAUUAUGUGAGGAAACACACCCGGGCGUGCACGACAUUGAGUCAGCGACAGCCCUUGCAUGCCCCUCACAUUUUGUACGAUAAUGAUCCUUCCGCAGGUUCACCUACGGAAA
rnacentral:misc_RNA from 1 species